rnacentral:ncRNA from 1 species
UAAACACAUGCUUUUUCGUAUAAUUUCGGGAAUUGGCCUGAAAGUUUCUACGAGAUCACCAUAAUGAUCUGGCUACGAAAAAAGAUAAU